GGCGGGGUAGCGCAAUGGUAGCGCGUUGCUUUCCGGUGACGUUUGUCUCCUGGCAAAGGUUGUGGGUUCGAGUCCCAUCCUCGUCG
rfam:Pseudomassariella vexata strain CBS 129021 BCR38scaffold_9, whole genome shotgun sequence.